UUCAAAGGCUUUCUGUAAUUCCCUUCCUUGCUCAUCAAACUCAAAGAGAAAAAGCAUCUUUAAAAUAUGGUAUAUUUCAUCUAGAGAGAAGAAAUUGGAGAGUGCUGGAAUAAUUCAACAUAUCUACUACAAAAAGAAGACAAACCCUCUGUAGCCCAAGAAGGAAAGCAGUGUCUCCUCCUCCAUCCUUAUCCUGGCUUCAGUGGUGGAUACCAGUAAGGAAGGCCUCUAGGCUACUGCUGACAAGUUCUGCUUCCAGAAUGUGCCUGAAGUGAUGCUUCCUGCUGGAAGUUUUUGUCUUUUCAAGUUUAGGAAAAUUGUAUCUUAAUUAUCUACGCAACUCUGUCUGUGCUAUCCAUUUACUCUUUUUUUUUUUUUCUUUGUGGGCAAGAAUCAUUAGUACUGAGAAUAUACCUUUCAGUUGCUCCGUGCUCUGCACCACUUCACUCAGUGCCUCCAGAAGGGCCAGAUCCUCCAGGGGACUCCCUUCCUUGAGGCUGUGCUUCUUCCGUUCUGCCUUGCGCCGAUUCUUAGAUGAUCGCCUGUUAGAAAUAACAGAUGUUUUAACAGGGGAUCUCCUUGUGCCGAACAGAUUAAAAUAAAUGUAACUACUGGCCACCAAA